rnacentral:rRNA from 1 species
GAUCCUGGCUCAGGAUGAACGCUGGCGGCGUGCUUAACACAUGCAAGUCGAACGGGAAACUUUUCAUUGAAGCUUCGGCAGAUUUGGUCUGUUUCUAGUGGCGGACGGGUGAGUAACGCGUGGGUAACCUACCUUAUACAGGGGGAUAACAACCAGAAAUGGUUGCUAAUACCGCAUAAGCGCACAGGACCGCAUGGUCUGGUGUGAAAAACUCCGGUGGUAUAAGAUGGACCCGCGUUGGAUUAGCUAGUUGG